CUGAAUAACCCAGCUGAUCGCACGGUCUUUGCACCGGCGACGCAUCUUUCAAGUGUCUGCCUUAUCAACUUUCGAUGGUAGUUUAUGUGACUACCAUGGUUAUAACGGGUAACGGAGAAUCAGGGUUCGACUCCGGAGAGGGAGCCUGAGAAACGGCUACCACAUCCAAGGAAGGCAGCAGGCGCGCAAAUUACCCACUCUCAGCACGAGGAGGUAGUGACGAAAAAUAACGAGGCGGUUCUCUAUGAGGCCCGCUAUCGGAAUGAGAACAAUUUAAAUCCUUUAACGAGGAUCUAGCGGAGGGCAAGUCUGGUGCCAGCAGCCGCGGUAAUUCCAGCUCCGCCAGUGUAUAUCUAUGCUGCUGCGGUUAAAAAG
rnacentral:rRNA from 1 species